rnacentral:rRNA from 1 species
UACGGAGGGUGCGAGCGUUGUCCGGAAUCCUUGGGCGUAAAGGGCGCGUAGGUGGCUUCUUAAGCGUGCGGUGAAAGCCUGGGGCUCAACCCCGGGUCGGCCGUGCGAACUGGGGGGCUGGAGCACUGUAGAGGCAGGCGGAAUUCCGGGUGUAGCGGUGGAAUGCGUAGAGAUCCGGAAGAACACCGGUGGCGAAGGCGGCCGGCUGGGCAGUUGCUGACACUGAGGCGCGACAGCGUGGGGAGCAAACAGG